UACGUAGGUGACAAGCGUUGUCCGGAUUUACUGGGCGUAAAGCGCGUGUAGGCGGCUAUGCAAGUCGGAUGUGAAAGCCCUCGGCUCAACCGGGGAAGUGCACCCGAAACUGCAAAGCUAGAGUCUCGGAGAGGAUCGUGGAAUUCUCGGUGUAGAGGUGAAAUUCGUAGAUAUCGAGAGGAACACCGGUGGCGAAGGCGGCGAUCUGGACGAUGACUGACGCUGAGACGCGAAAACGUGGGGAGCAAACAGG
rnacentral:rRNA from 1 species